UAGGAAACCAGGAAGAGUGUGCUGGGAGC
rnacentral:piRNA from 2 species